UCUAAAAAAUAAGCAAAGAAAGCAGUUUCUGAAGAUGUAAUCUGCUCUUGGGGAAGAUUCUGUGAA
rnacentral:pre_miRNA from 1 species